ensembl:snRNA U6 U6 spliceosomal RNA
GUGCUCACUUUAGCAGCACACAUACUAAAACAAAUUGGAAUGAUACAGAGAUUAGCAUGUUCCUGUGCAAGGAGGAAAUGCAUGAAGAGUUCCAUUAAAAAUUUUUUU